rnacentral:lncRNA from 1 species
CCCAACUCCAUACUUAAUUCCAUUUUUAUUGUUUGCUGAACGCCAUAGGGAUCACCUUUUCAUUGUUAUAAACCUUACUUUUCAAUAACACAGCUGUUUCAGUCAUGCCUUGGCAUGGCUCAAAAGUUUCUUAGCAUAGAUAUAAUUAACUUUUGAAAGUCUUGGGGGCUCUUUAACGAGGAGUUUUAAUGGCCUGUCACAUUUUACAUUGUUUGAUUUGCAUGUGAUCAUAAAUGCUAACAACCUGCAUCAGUGUUCAUUUGUGAAAACCCACCCAUCUGUAGCAAAACCCACAUAUGGAAAGUUAAAUUUCAUCACCACUCUGCUCUAAAACCAGGGUGAAGUUGGGAGUGAAAUCAGCUUUACCCAGCAUGUUGGGGGUUGACUAUUUGUAAUGCCAACUCCUAAAGCAGUUACCCACUACAUUAUUUUUAUUUCUAUUACUGUAUAACUUAAGUUUAGUAUUUAUAGCUCAGGACUCUGCUGCACUAUUGCCAUCUUGUUCUGAGAUUUUAUAGGCAAAGAAUUUAUAAUUGAUACAGAAGACAAUAGGCAAAUCUGAGGGAUAGCGGGAAUCUUAUUACCAUGAAUAGUCCUAAUGAAAAAGAAAUACUUCAUACUGAGGGAUUGCACAGCUGGGCUUUAAGUGCAAAGGUGUUGCCCAGAGGAAGUCUCUCAGAAAUAACACAGUGACAUUCCUCUGUCCCACAGAUGGAGAACAAUGUCCUUAAUUCUCCAUGGAAUAAGAUGCUCAACUACCUCAUGCCUCCUGGAUGAUAAGUGAUGCCAUUAGACACAGACUAAUGUCUAUUCAAGAAAAAUAGCUUUGUGAAGACCAGAAUAUAUUUAGACAAACUUCUAUCACUGUUUGAGGAAACAAAAGCACACCGAGAAAUAAAAGAUGGCCAGAAGACUAGAAGUAACACAGAAGUCGUGACUGUUUCAAUGAAACCAACCAACUUAGGAGAAUGUGUGAGAUAUCCAGAUGCAAGCGCUAGCCUUUUUUGGGCCGGGGAACACCAGAUCAGGCAGAAUGUAAUUGCAGUAAUGCAAUGA